rnacentral:misc_RNA from 1 species
GCAAACUUGGUCAUUUAGAGGAAGUAAAAGUCGUAACAAGGUUUCCGUAGGUGAACCUGCGGAAGGAUCAUUAUUGAAUAAACUUGAUGUGGUUGUAGCUGAUCCUCUAGGGGAUAUGUGCUCGCCCGUCAUCUUUAUAUCUCCACCUGUGCACUUUUUGUAGACUUUGGAUGUGACACUUUCCGAGGUAACUCGGUCGGGAGGAAUGCUGUUCAUAGCUUUCCUUGAAUGUCCAAGCCUAUGUUUUUAUAUACUCCAAAGAAUGUAAUAGAAUGUAUCAAUGGGCCUUGUGCCUAUAAACUAUAUACAACUUUCAGCAACGGAUCUCUUGGCUCUCGCAUCGAUGAAGAACGCAGC